UUGACCUCAAAUCGAGUAGGACUACCCGCUGAACUUAAGCAUAUCAAUAAGCGGAGGAAAAGAAACUAACAAGGAUUCCCCUAGUAACGGCGAGUGAAGAGGGAAGAGCUCAAAUUUUGAAUCUGGCACCUUUGGUGUCCGAAUUGUAAUCUAGAGAAGUGUUUUCCGUGGCGGACCGUGCAUAAGUCUCCUGGAAUGGAGCGUCAUAGAGGGUGAGAAUCCCGUAUAUGGCAUGGACUCCCGUUGCUCUGUGAUACACUCUCGACGAGUCGAGUUGUUUGGGAAUGCAGCUCUAAAUGGGUGGUAAAUGCCAUCUAAAGCUAAAUAUUGGCGAGAGACCGAUAGCGAACAAGUACCGUGAGGGAAAGAUGAAAAGC
rnacentral:rRNA from 1 species